CCACUGUUGAGGCGCGUGAGAGGCAUUAUCUUCUGUUUUUCCAAUUAUUUCUCCUAUCUCCUCCUUCCUCCUUUCUAUUUCCACCAUAGUCGUUGCUUACCACUGUGCAACCACCUCUACAUUUCAAAUUCAAUUUCAGUGACCAAAAUAUUUACAAACAACACUAAAACAUUUUUAUUAAAAAUCACUUAAACAUUCAAUAGAAAGAGGGCACCACAAAAUUACAUUCAUCUUCCUCUAUUAUUCUCCGUCCCAACUCCUGCCAUACUCUACCGCAUCGCCACAACGGCACCACCGCGAACCCCAAGCCCAAAUCUGUCCGCUCUUAUACUUCCAUCACUUCUAAGUCUCACCUUUUACCUGCACUGCCAUGGAUUUUGCUCACAAAAAUCAUCACACAGUCUCAAAUAACCUGCCACCACAUAAAAAAAGAUCCAUCAGUUCAACCCAAAACAUCGGUAUUAUUAGAUUAAAAAAAUAGCACGAAGAAGAAGAUGGGUUCUCUCUGAAAAUUUGAGCUUUGAUUUUUCUUUUUUCUUUUUCUUUUCUAUGAGGUCCUGAUGGUGAACAAUUCUCUUUACAAAAUAUUGAUG
rnacentral:lncRNA from 1 species